GCUCCGCACAGCUCGAGGAACUUCCAAGGAUUUACUUAUUUGUUUAUUUGUUUUACCUAAGGAAGAGACGGAGGGGAUGUGAGCGGCUCGCUCCGUACCGGCAGGCAGAGACUGGAAUUCCGGGAUGAGGGAGGAACGGGUGAAUGGUAGAAAAAUUAGGAAAAAAAAUUAUACAUAUAUAUAUUAAACCAACUCCUCUCAAACCUCUCGCUGCUACCCUCGCCCUUGUACAAACUGCACUUGUAGCAGAAACACAAGCACGGAACUGGCUCAUUUCUCCAUCCUGCUCAUCCCAGCCCUUGGGAAGGGAGGAUAACUCCUGGGAAAUCGAUGCGCACCCGCACAGGGGGCUCCUUUUGCGGACAGAUAUGGAGAUUUCUGCCAGGGAUUGGGGACACAGGAGCCCAUCCCCGCCCCGCGUACCUGGGUGUCCGUGGGGUAAAUAAUUCAGGAUUGUGAUGGAAUGGCGGGAGGGAGCGCUGGGAGCGAUGCGCAGCUCCCCGCGCUGCCUGCGCGCCUCCGUCCUGCGCCCGCCCUCGCUCCCCCGCCGCCAAAGCGAAUUUGUUGCAUUUCCUCCAUUGAUUGUUUAGUCAGAGGUUUUGCCAACUUCCUGACGGUUCGUUUUCUGAUUCUGAAAAAAAAAAAAAUCCCGAAAAAAAAAAAAAAAGAACCGCAUUUCCUUUUUGACUUAAGAGGGAGAGAGAGAGAGAGAAGCGGAGGCUGGGGGCUGGUGGACGCAUCGAGCUAUUCCUCGUCCCGAUUGUGAACUUGGCAGCGGCUCUUUGGCUCGAACAACCCCAGUGGCCACUAACCAGGAACACCUGCUGGUUAGCCGGAACGGGAGGGAGGAGAAGAUGGGCAUCUCCAGCGGAAUUCCAGCGCGGAAUAUGGAAGUGUUUAAAGGAAGACCUUCCCCAGCUCAGGGUAGCAGAGAUCUGAACCUUUAAAUUGCAGCCAUUCCCGGCCUGACGAUAAGUAAAUAAACAAUUCACAGCUGCGAGGGCUAAACA
rnacentral:lncRNA from 1 species